rnacentral:rRNA from 1 species
CAGGCCUAACACAUGCAAGUCGAGCGAGUGGAUCUCCUUCGGGAGAGAAGCUAGCGGCGGACGGGUGAGUAACACGUGGGCAACCUGCCUCAUAGAGGGGAAUAGCCUCCCGAAAGGGAGAUUAAUACCGCAUAAGAUUGUAGCUUCGCAUGAAGUAGCAAUUAAAGGAGCAAUCCGCUAUGAGAUGGGCCCGCGGCGCAUUAGCUAGUUGGUGAGGUAACGGCUCACCAAGGCGACGAUGCGUAGCCGACCUGAGAGGGUGAUCGGCCACAUUGGGACUGAGACACGGCCCAGACUCCUACGGGAGGCAGCAGUGGGGAAUAUUGCACAAUGGGGGAAACCCUGAUGCAGCAACGCCGCGUGAGUGAUGACGGCCUUCGGGUUGUAAAGCUCUGUCUUCAGGGACGAUAAUGACGGUACCUGAGGAGGAAGCCACGUCUAACUACGUGCCAGCAGCCGCGGUAAU